UGGAAAAAUUUUGCCUUGUGCUGUUUCUUAUCCAACACACUCGUCAUGUGCUGGUUAGGUGCAAUACUGAACAUUCUUACACAAACAAAUAAUCUCUUGUGCCCUGACGUACAUCAAGUCUAAACAUCUGAUGCUCCAUUUGACUGACUAAUAAUUUCCGAUAUAUGUUUGUCUUUUACACCCGGACUCUGGCUCCAUCCUAUCUGACUCCCCACCAGACCCAAGGCUGUUAAAGCAAAUGCAUCUUGUCUUGGAAGCUCGGUGUUCCUUCCUUUGGAUAACAAGACAUGACGAUGCAGAAGUGAGAAAGCAAACAUUCUCACUCACAGCGAGAUAAGGUGGCGCAAACAAUUCCAUUGCUGCAGAGAGACAUUCCACCAGAGCCAGAGAAAGGGGUUAAAAGGCAGAAGCAACUUGAGGAUCGUGGGCUCUUUGCAUCACACCUUCGUGGUGUGUGCACUGAUCUCCCCAGCUGGUUUUUUUGGUUUGUUGAUGUGCACGAUCAACAUCCAUGCUUUUUAUUUGCUUUCCCCAUUAUUUUUAUUUUCUUUAUUAUUUCAAUAAAUCGCACAAAAGGACAACUCUCUCAUCUACUUCUUUAUGGAAAAUUUCCACCACAGAAAUUGGCGUUGUCGGCAGGAUCCCGCGGCAGGUCGUCUGGACGGUGUGACCAGGGACGAUAGUCCUGAGGACUAGGGUCGCUCAGCCUCCAAACCUCUACAGACAUUCAGAGCUGGGAGGACUGCUCACCCGUCUGGAUCGCCUCUGACGAGAUCCACGAACUCAGAUUCAAACUCAAAUCCUAAUUUGGCUCGGCUCGAACCGAGCGCGAUGAGGGUAAAUCCGGAUCUGGACUCCUUUCCCACCAUCAGCAGAAGAACCGAAGGAGAAGAAGCGCCAACCAACAACCAGAACAGGGUGGAAGCUCUGACACCACAGCAGCUGGAGGACACAGACCUCAGCAUGGACGCCUCACAGACUCCCACAACGUCUGCAGCCAUCACGUUCUGGGCUCAUCAGAUGAACCAGCUACUACAAGCAUGUGUGUCUGACACAGACACCUGCUUAUGACAAUCAGCAAAGGAAAACAAGGACAGAGCAACAGCAGAGAAGACGUGCUCUGACACAGACACUGGUUGAAACAACAGGAGAGGCUUCAGACGUGAUCGGCCCAAUAGAGCUGCAUCUGAGGAUCCAGGAAAGGUCUGUCAUCGAGGAACAACUGUCUCAUCGAAAGGCUUCACCCGCUGGCGCUCACAUCAGACUGAUGGUUGGGGAAGGAGGAAGGUGACGGUUCCUUUUCACGUGACGUACAAGACGGUACCGCAAACACACACACAUUCAUACACGCAAUGAAGAAACACGCUUACAGCUGAUACACGCUCAAAUUCAUGUUCAUGCUUAUCUGCUCGCAAUGAAGAAUCGCUUUUUGCUCAAAAAAAAAUCCCACAGAGUGAUUUUAAAAAUAUGACAAACAGCUAAAUGACAACUGCUGCAUGACUUUACAGUCUGAUGGGUUUAAACUAUUUCAAUUUGCAACAAAUUCAGUAAUAAAAUCCUCCAUGUUUCUAAAAA